AGUGAACGCUGGCGGUAGGCCUAACACAUGCAAGUCGAACGGCAGCACAGUAAGAGCUUGCUCUUACGGGUGGCGAGUGGCGGGCGGGUGAGGAAUACAUCGGAAUCUACUUUUUCGUGGGGGAUAACGUAGGGAAACUUACGCUAAUACCGCAUACGACCUACGGGUGAAAGCAGGGGAUCUUCGGACCUUGCGCGAUUGAAUGAGCCGAUGUCGGAUUAGCUAGUUGGCGGGGUAAAGGCCCACCAAGGCGACGAUCCGUAGCUGGUCUGAGAGGAUGAUCAGCCACACUGGAACUGAGACACGGUCCAGACUCCUACGGGAGGCAGCAGUGGGGAAUAUUGGACAAUGGGCGCAAGCCUGAUCCAGCCAUGCCGCGUGGGUGAAGAAGGCCUUCGGGUUGUAAAGCCCUUUUGUUGGGAAAGAAAAGCAGCAGGUUAAUACCCCGCUGUUCUGACGGUACCCAAAGAAUAAGCACCGGCUAACUUCGUG
rnacentral:rRNA from 1 species